rnacentral:lncRNA from 7 species
AAAUAUGUCCUUAUUAGAGAAGCCUUGGAAACAAUACAGUGUGAGGAAUGAGAGGAUUCAGGAUAAGAUUUAUUUUUUAUGUUCUUAGUAAAUAUUUUGUGUCUAGAUCUACUCAUGAGUAUUUGCAUACAGUGCACAAUCAUGUAUUUGUUUGCAGAGAGGCAAAUCGUAUGUAAAUAAAUAAUAUCAUUGUUCUGGAAGUGAAAGAAUAAUCUCACUGUUGAGUGACUGUUUCAGAUCAAACUGCGUUUAGGAGUUACCUGAGGAUGAGACCAGAGCUCCAGGCGGGUUUUAUUAUGCUUUGGUUGCAAUGUUUCUGAAAGGAACCUUUAUCUGUACUGCUCCCCAGCUGUUGAAACAUAUUCCACUGCAGUUAUUGGACUCUGAUUGCUUCAUUGGUUUCCAUUUGCCACAAGGAAACCUUUGAAGGAUGGAUGAACUGAAUGUGAGAGCAGGAGGAAGGCAAUAGCCAUCUUUGGACAAAAAUUACAGAAUUGUACAUCAUCGUUUUGAAAGACCAAAAUAAAUACAGUCACCUCCAUCUCAAAGGAAGAAGCAGAUUUUUCAAGGAAAUCUGUGGUUCCAGAUCAUGCCUUUUCUAUGUGAUCUCUGGAAUAUUUGACAAGAGACUCUUCCCACAGCCUUCCUAUCUGUCUCUAAAUAGACGGUUGAAAACUUGCCGCUAUUUUUGACGGUGUUAUAGGAAAGAAACCUUAUUAUCAGCAAUUUGCAAACUAAAAUUUUUGUGGUCUACUGACAUACUCAGUACAUGAGCUCAGACAUCAGACUGUAGAUAAUAUUUGCACUGUUCAAACUCAACUUGUUAUACCUUAUAAAUGCGAUGCUUUUUCCUUGAGUGCUGUCAGACUGCUGAAAUUGAAGGAUGGUGGAACUACUAGAGGUGAGGCAAGGGAGAAGUACAGAGCAGUUGACUGGGAGCAUUUCUGCAUGGUGGAAAAAUGCUCAUCACACAUGAGCCUGAGGUGUUUUUGUGGAGAAACAUUUCUGU